GAUGUCCCGCCCACACGAAUGAAUUAGCAGGCAAACAUGGCAGCUACUACCGACAACAUGGACAUCUCAGCGUCUAUUGCUGGCAUUUUGAAGGAAGAACACUGCCCUGAACACUUGCAGGUUUUAAAAACAUUCACCACCGCGUUACGUGACAAGGAAUACAGAGAUGCUGUGAAGGAGGAGGUGUUGUCCAGUCUUCUUCAGGUUUUAUCCAGACUGUGCGAUGAGCUCCAUGCUGUCAGCUGUGACGAUCAGGACCUGCAGUCUGUCGCCCUGCAGCUGCAGCUGACCGCCGAGUGCUUCAGGGCUCAGAGGAACACCUGUGUCGAGAGCGACCGCAACCAGAGUCUGCUCAGGGAGCUUGGCUUCAUUGAUGUAUCCCUUAAACUCCUAGACUUUCUUCAGACCAGACAUUCGGAGAGUAGAGAUGGCAUAUUUGAACCGCUUCGUUGUGGGAUCCAGUUCCUCGGUAACUUGUCGGUUGGAAACCAAAUAUGUAAAGAUGACAUCUGGCGGCUGAGCUUCCCUAAUCUCCUCAUGCAGCUGCUCAGUGUUGGCGAUGAGAAGACGGUAAACUACGCCUCCAUGGUGCUCCACACAUGUCUGGAUGAAGCCAAGGUGGAGGAGCUGUCUGAUCUGCAGAACAUCCAGCUGGCACUCAGGGUGAUGGAGCUCUGCAGGACCCAUCCUGACCUGGACUGGACGGUUCUCAUUGCUACCCAGUUUUUCCUCAAGUCUUCAGCUCUGGUGGAGAGCAUGUACUCUGGGAUGUCUCACCAUGAAAGACUUACUCUAUUAGAGCUGCUCUUCGCUCAGCUACAAGAGGAGGACUCAGAGGAGUGUGGCAUCCCCCCCGAUGUGGCUCGCUUCGUGGCCACUUCCUUCGUGAAAGGUUGUGGGGCCGUGCUGACGCUCGCAACUGGCUCUGCCUCCAGUGAUGAGGUCCUGCAGGAGGCGAUGACAGUGAUCAGUCUGCUGGACGUGCUGUGUGAGAUGACCUCAGACCACAAGCAGUUCAAGUUCCUCCAGGAACAUCCCGACCUUCUAGUAACAACUGUUGAGCUCCUGAAGCAGGUGCAUACUAUAGGGAAGGCUAGUAAGAAUGUUUUCAGCGCUGCUCAGAACUUCUCCUCCCUCGGUGGAGAUGGAGACCCCUCCUCCCAUUCUCCAGUCAUCAGCUUCAAGGCCCACCUCAUCAGGCUGAUAGGAAACCUCUGUUACAGCAACACAGACAACCAGAACAAGGUGAGUGAACUGGAAGGCAUCCCCCUCAUCUUGGACAACUGCAACAUAGACAGCAACAACCCAUUCAUCAGCCAGUGGGCCAUCUUUGCCGUCAGGAACCUCCUAGAACACAACAAGAAGAACCAGGAGCAGGUGGCGGCUCUGGAGCGCCGUGGCACCACCGACUACUCCGCGCUCAAGGAGUUGGGCUUCGAGGUGGAGCAGCGAGACGGAGGCUUGCUGCUCAAAACUGUGAGGAAAGACUCUUGAAAAGCUUUGAAGAUCAACCCGGAGAGAUGAGGCCCUCCCCCCGCAAGCAGGUUCCAAAAACAGAUUCUGGUAGGUGAGAGCUUGCUGAAAGUGAUUUAAUGAGCGAGUGAGAGAAUCACACCAGAGGCUUUAGUGCGCAGGAUGACAUCCCUCCCUGCUCCUCGCGGCUGCCGGAUAAGCUGAACUGUCCUGACACCUCAACAAUGCAGCGAUUUACUGGGCUGCUCACGCCCUGCUCCACCUUGUUUGCUCUGCCUCUGAUUUUUAAUGACAAAAUGUAUUGGAAACAAUCGGCUCGACUCGCCCCUCAAUCCACGGGCAUAGUGAAGGGAGCUUACGCGGUUCCGGUCCCCAGGAUUUCAGACGGCUAACAAAACAGCUGUUACUCGCGCUCCGCUGGCUGGCUGCAAUGCUUUUCAGCCCCACAGGAAAGAGUCAGCCGGGGCUCAAUGAGGUGGCAUGGCCGCUGCCGCCUGUUCACCUCCUGACACAUUAGUACCACAUCAGUCAAGGCUACAAGUUCUUGUGUUUCCCAUAUCAGCGUUUUAUGCCACAAGGGCUCCACUACAAUGUGCCUUCUGGUUCGGUAAAACAAUUGUCAGGGUGAAUGCUUUGUGUCUGGGUCAAAUCAUGUGUUGAUAUAAUGCUUAAUAAAGUAUUGUGUGA